UACCAUGAUGAGACACAUUUGAUUAGCUCUAGAUCAAGAGCUGCUUUUCGUAGCGAUGAGCGACAUUUGCAUGUAUUACCUGACUU
rnacentral:snoRNA from 1 species